ACAAAAACUCAUUUCCACAAAAGUUUCUCUCUCUUCCUCUAAAUCCUCAUAAAUCUCUGCAAACACACUCUCCUCUCACUCUAACCUACCUGCCUGAGAAGAAGGUGGAAGGCGACCGUUCAUGGCGGUGCCGCCCCUCUACUCCGACGAACAAAACCAAAUUCCACCUUACCCAUAAAAACACUCUCCUAAGUACGAAUCCGAACCCAGAUUCCUCAUUACUCAUCUCAAAUGCACAAAUCGGGGUCCCAAACCGAACCCUAGAAUCGAAUAAUAAUAUCAACCAAGCUAGCUCAGAGCGAUUAGACCAAGGAUUCAGCAUAAAUCGACAAGGCGUGAGCGGACUAAGAGGCGUAUCAAUCAAAAACCCUUAAGUAAAAACCCUAAAUUAGGUGGUGAUGGAACGUCAAUUCAAACCAAGACGUUAGGGGUUUCAAUCAGCGUAAACAGGAGAAUACAAAAGUGCACUGGAUGGGUCAAGGCGUGAAGAAAUCUACCUGACCGGAAUUCGUUCGGUGACGUGUUUCCCGGCAACUAAAGAUAAGUUUGCCUUCCCUCUCGUUUCUGCUUUGUUUCUCUUCGUUACUAGCUCCGCCUCAUCCGCUUCUUUGAUCGCAGUGGCUAUAAGGAAGUGUUUGUGUUUUUUUUUAAAAAGAUCCUGCUAUUGUUCUAGGUUUUAAAAAAAACAGAUUGCUUUUCUAUCUUCUGUGUGGUUUCUUUAGGGUUUUUUAUGAAAUAUUGCUAUGUUGUUCUUGAUGUGUGUUCUAGGGUUUUUUAGAAGAAAUCUCUUGAUGUGCAUAUGCUGUUGUUCUUGCAAGUAUCCGUCUACUGUUAAUUUUUUUAUUUGUUUAUGAAGAAGUUGUUGAGUCUUGAAAAAAUUCCCCUUUUUCGAAUUUCUCAUCCCAGAUUAUAUGGGAUUUGGUUUGUUCUUAUUUAAGCCAUUGUUGCAAUGCUUUUUCAGAUGUUCCAAUUAAUCCUCUGGAUAAAGCUUUGAACUUAGUAAUUUAAUUAGUUAUUUUUCAGUUUUUUAAGUGCUUUUAAAAAGUGCUUUUUAAAUAAGCUAUUUUUCUCUGCAGGUUAUAGCUCUGAGAUGACCUGAUGGAAUGGAAGGUGACUGCUCCAAGCUUCAAGACAACCUGUUUUCGUGACUAAGUCCAAACUGAUUUCGUUCUAAUUGCUUGGUUUUGGUCAUUAGGAACCUAUUUCCAUCUAUAGCAAUUUUUUCACUGUAAUUACUUAGUUUAGUUUUUUUUAGACAAAAUGUGUGUUUGGAUUAUUUGGGACUUAUUGAAUUAAAUUUUAAUUAUGUAAUUACCUUUUAA